rnacentral:rRNA from 1 species
CCUACGGGGGGCAGCAGUGGGGAAUAUUGGACAAUGGGGGAAACCCUGAUCCAGCGACGCCGCGUGAGUGAAGAAGUAUUUCGGUAUGUAAAGCUCUAUCAGCAGGGAAGAAAAUGACGGUACCUGACUAAGAAGCCCCGGCUAACUACGUGCCAGCAGCCGCGGUAAUACGUAGGGGGCAAGCGUUAUCCGGAUUUACUGGGUGUAAAGGGAGCGUAGACGGCAUAGCAAGUCUGAUGUGAAAGAUCGGGGCUCAACCCCGGGCCUGCAUUGGAAACUGUUAAGCUGGAGUACAGGAGAGGUAA